UACCCUCAGGACUGAGAUAACCCCGGGAAACUGGGGCUAAUAUUAGAUAGAUAAAAGAUACUGGAAUAUUCUUUUAUCCAAAGCUUUUGCGCUGAGGAUGGGCCUGCGCCCGAUUAGGUUGUUGGUGGGGUAAUGGCCCACCAAGCCUACGAUCGGUACGGGCAGUGGGAGCUGAAGCCCGGAGUUGGGGACUGAGACAAGGCCCCAGGCCCUACGGGGCGCAGCAGGCGCGAAACCUCUGCAAUGCGGGAAACCGUGACAGGGGGAUCCCAAGUGCUCAUGCAUUGCAUGGGCUGUUCUUUGGUCUAAGUAACCAGAGGAGUAAGGGCUGGGCAAGACCGGUGCCAGCCGCCGCGGUAAUACCGGCAGCUCAAGUGGUAGCCGCGAUUAUUGGGUCUAAAACGUUCGUAGCCGGAUAAGUAAGUCUUUGGUUAAAUCCUGCGACUUAACCGUGGGAAAUCUAGAGAUACUGCUUGUCUUGAGACCGGGAGAGGUUGGAGGUACUCCCAGGGUAGGGGUGAAAUCCUGCAAUCCUGGGGGGACCACCUGUGGCGAAGGCGUCCAACUGGAACGGGUCUGACGGUGAGGGACGAAACCUAGGGGAGCGAGCCGGAUUAGAUACCCGGGUAGUCCUAGGCGUAAAUGAUGCGAGUUAAGUGUGGGGGCAUCCACGAGAUGGCCCUGUGCUGUAGGGUAGCCGUUAAACUCGCUGCCUGGGGAGUACGGUCGCAAGGCUGAAACUUAAAGGAAUUGGCGGGGGAGCACCACAAGAGGUGGAGGCUGCGGUUCAAUUGGAUUCAACGCCGGA
rnacentral:rRNA from 1 species